rnacentral:rRNA from 1 species
CCAUAUCAAUAAGCGGAGGAAAAGAAACCAACAGGGAUUACCUCAGUAACGGCGAGUGAAGCGGUAAAAGCUCAAAUUUGAAACCCUCGGGAUUGUAAUUUGAAGAUUUGGCAUUGGGAAAAGCUAACCCAAGUUGCUUGGAAUAGUGCGUCGUAGAGGGUGAGAACCCCGUGUGGCUAACCGUUUCCCAUGUAUUGCCUUAUCAAAGAGUCGAGUUGUUUGGGAAUGCAGCUCUAAGUGGGUGGUAAACUCCAUCUAAAGCUAAAUAUUGGCGAGAGACCGAUAGCGAACAAGUACUGUGAAGGAAAGAUGAAAAGAACUUUGAAAAGAGAGUGAAAUAGUAUGUGAAAUUGUUGAUAGGGAAGGGAAUGAGUGUAGCGUGGGUGAGGUUUCAGCGUUCCCUCGGGGACGUGUACUGCCAAACCCGAGUCAAGGAGUGGGAAAAAGGGGUUAUAAAUGCAAACUCUCGAGUCUGCACCUAACCCCCGCCCUCCACUCCUCGACAUAAUACACCCAUUCCACCCGUCUUGAAACACGGACCAAGGAGUCUAAAGGAAAUGUGAGUGUUAGGAUGCAAAUCCCAGCGCGCAAUGAAAGUGACCGAUUCGUUCAGAAUCAACCGAUCUAGAUAUUUUUGACAGAUUUGAGUAAACAUU